rnacentral:rRNA from 1 species
ACUGAACGCUGGCGGCAGGCCUAACACAUGCAAGUCGAACGAGUGGUGGACGGGUGAGUAAUGUCUGGGAAACUGCCUGAUGGAGGGGGAUAACUACUGGAAACGGUAGCUAAUACCGCAUACCAUCGGAUGUGCCCAGAUGGGCUUAGCUAGUAGGUGGGGUAAAGGCUCACCUAGGCGACGAUCCCUAGCUGGUCUGAGAGGCUGACCAGCCGCACUGGAACUGGGACCCGGUCCUGACUCCUCCGAGAGGCAGCAGUGGGGAAUAUUGCACAAUGGGCGCAAGCCUGAUGCAGCCAUGCCGCGUGUGUGAAGAAGGCCUUCGGGUUGUAAAGCACUUUCAGCGGGGAGGCGUUACUCGCAGAAGAAGCACCGGCUAACUCCGUGCCAGCAGCCGCGGUAAUUC